rnacentral:lncRNA from 1 species
AGUUUUUGCUAAACUUGGGAGCUCAGGGUACUACUCAGUGUGCUGUUUCUGCUGGUGUAUCUGUGUAGCCUGUUAGGGAACAUUACCAUCAUCAUUGUUACUACAGUUGACCAGACCCUGAAAACACCCAUGUACUUCUUCCUCAGGAAUCUGUCCAUCUUAGACAUGUGCUACAUUUCCAUCACUGUCCCCAGUGCCUGUAUUAACUCUCUCACUGACCACAGGAAUAUUUCUGUGGCUGGGUGUGCAGCACAGAUCUUUUCGUUCUUAUUUUGUGCACUUGUAGAGACUCUUUCUUUUUCAUGGCCCAGGAUCGUUAUGUGGCCAUUUCAAACCUCUCCUCUAUCCUGUGAUCAUGAACCACCAGUUCUGUGUUCAGAUGACACUGGCUUCCCUACUUAGCUCACUUGUCAUUGCAAGUGUGCACACUUUCAAAACUUUCCAGCUGUCCUUCUGCCACUCUAAUGUGAUCCCUCAGUUCUUCUGUGAUCUUCCUGCUUUGCUGAGACUUUCUUGCUCUGACACCUUCAACAACAACCUCUUGAUACUUCCGACUGACAUUGGAGUCAGUGGUAGUUGCUUUGUCUUUAUUGCCAUAUCUUAUAUUCGCAUAUUAUCAACUGUAUUGAAGAUUCCCAUCAAAAGAGAGAGAGGGAAAGCCUUUUCUACCUGUGUCCCUCACAUUAUUGUGGUGUCUGUCUUUGUUAGUUCUGCUGCCUAUGUGUAUCUACGACCUCCAGUAAUAACCUUUGAAGUAGUUCAGGAAAUGAUUGUUUCUGUAUUUUAUACCAUGGUUCCACCAUUCUUAAACCCUAUCAUCUAUAGUCUCAGAAACAAACAGAUAAAGGAGGCUGUGAGGAAAGUUAUGUCACAAGUUUUUCCAAUAUUUGAAUAUAAAAGGAACAA